AGAUGUGGCUGGUGGGGUGAACCUAGUCCAAUGUAGUCAAGAGAGGUCAAGUUCUAGUGGAUUUAGAUCUGGACCUGGUCCAAUGUGCUCUACAAAUGAAGAAUACAGUCACAUCCGCUCCUUUCUUCAUUUUCUCCAACAGAAUAAAGGUCAGACUCUUUCAACAUUGGUUCCUGACUGAACUUUGUCUCGCCUCAAAUGUGGAACAUGUUUUAUCAAUCUGUGGAACAGAAAAUGGACAAACAGCAGUGACUGAAGAUGUCCGAUGUGGAUGAAGAGGAGGGCAGGUCAGGUGUGGACAGGUGUGUGAACCUUCCUCUCCAGGUUGGACAUGUACGUCUCACAUGUUGAAUGAAUGUGUGUAAACUGUCAGAACCUCCUGAUCUGUCAAGGAGCCAACAGAACAUUUGGACCUGCUGUCAAACUCCUGAUUGGGCAGUUUGGGUGUGACCUUUGACCUCUGUCAUGUUCAUCUCUUCAUAAACAACUGGGUUUACAGUGAACUGACUGAACCAUUCAAGCUGUUUCUAAAU